GCUCCCUUCAGGGCUCCGGCCAGGUUCUGACAAAGUCUCCGUCGCUCCUCCUCACUCAGAACCUCGCUGUAGAAGGUCCCCGCCUGCCACACCCAAGCACACAGCACUUAGGUACCUCACGCACACACAGGUAUCGCACAACCACACACACGAUGAAUAUCACACACACACAGGGUGUAUCA